rnacentral:tRNA from 1 species
GGAGUUGUGGCUCAGUAGUAGAGCACUUGCCUAGAAUGUGUGAGGCACUGGGUUCGAUUCUCAGCACCA